CACACGUCCACAGUCAACGGUAGAAACUCUUCUAAGCUUGACGUACUGCAAGAGAGAAAUGGAAAAGCUGCAAUUCAUCAUUUAUUUUUUCCUGCUCUUGAAGACAAUUUCAUCCGAGAAAGAGGGUGAAAAUUUCCAACUGGAUGGAAUGAACCCACCAUUGACAAAAUGGAAUUACUUCAAACCGCAAUAUUUAGCUCCUAAGAGCUUCGCCAUGCCUCCGCUUGCUCUAUUUACAAAAAAGCUGCAAAUGUUUCGAAACCACGCACUGAAGAGGGACAAAGAGGUCCCAUUUGAACUUGUUGUUGAUGGCACAAAUUACGAGGAGGUGAAUAAAAUAUAAAUUUUGGAGAGCAAGAAAAUAAACUACAUGUAAUU